rnacentral:rRNA from 1 species
UCGUGGGGCAGCAUAAGGUAGCAAUACUUUGAUGGCGACCGGCGCACGGGUGAGUAACGCGUAUGCAACCUACCCAGUACAGGGGGAUAGCCCGGAGAAAUUCGGAUUAAUACCCCAUAAUGAUAUUAAGAGGCAUCUUUUGAUAUUUAAAGCUUCGGCGGUACUGGAUGGGCAUGCGUAAGAUUAGCUAGUUGGUAGGGUAACGGCCUACCAAGGCUCCGAUCUUUAGGGGUCCUGAGAGGGUGAUCCCCCACACUGGUACUGAGACACGGACCAGACUCCUACGGGAGGCAGCAGUGAGGAAUAUUGGUCAAUGGGCGCAAGCCUGAACCAGCCAUCCCGCGUGAAGGAAGAAUGCGCUAUGCGUUGUAAACUUCUUUUCCGGAGGAAUAAAAUCUUGUACGAGUACAGGACUGAAGGUACUCCGGGAAUAAGCAUCGGCUAACUCCGUGCCAGCAGCCGCGGUAAUACGGAGGAUGCAAGCGUUAUCCGGAUUUAUUGGGUUUAAAGGGUGCGUAGGCGGAUUAAUAAGUCAGCGGUGAAAACCUUCAGCUUAACUGGAGAC